rnacentral:rRNA from 1 species
GACGAACGCUGGCGGCGUGCUUAACACAUGCAAGUCGAGCGAUGAAGUUCCUUCGGGAAUGGAUUAGCGGCGGACGGGUGAGUAACACGUGGGUAACCUGCCUCAUAGAGGGGAAUAGCCUUCCGAAAGGAAGAUUAAUACCGCAUAAGAUUGUAGUGCCGCAUGGUAUAGCAAUUAAAGGAGCAAUCCGCUAUGAGAUGGACCCGCGUCGCAUUAGCUAGUUGGUGAGGUAACGGCUCACCAAGGCGACGAUGCGUAGCCGACCUGAGAGGGUGAUCGGCCACAUUGGGACUGAGACACGGCCCAGACUCCUACGGGAGGCAGCAGUGGGGAAUAGUGCACAAUGGGGGAAACCCUGAUGCAGCAACGCCGCGUGAGUGAUGACGGUCUUCGGAUUGUAAAACUCUGUCUUCAGGGACGAUAAUGACGGUACCUGAGGAGGAAGCCACGGCUAACUACGUGCCAGCAGCCGCCGUAAUAC